AGGAGCUGCCUAAAUACAGGAAAAGGCAAGGUAUGAUUCAACUUGUUACAGUUAUUUCAUUUCCAAUUAAGCCAAGGCCCAGUAAAAUUUACCAUGUAUUAUUUCCCUUCCUAGGUCACAGCUCCAUCUGCCAUCUCCCUAUGGGCACUCGAGGUACAGUGUAGAGAAUUAUUGGUUAUAAACACAGCUGGGACAUUCAGCACUUGUUGCUGUUGAAGAUCGCAGAGCCACCAAGUGGACGAGGUUGGCAGGAACCUCUGGAGAAUGUCUAGCCCAACCCCUGCUCAAGCAGGUUGCCCAGGACCGUGCCCAGAGGAAAACCGGUCAGACAGGAGACUGGAAAGCAAAACCUGAAGGAGACUUUCAGGCUGGCAGUACAACAGCUUGCUAGGAGAGAUCAACAGAUCGUGGUGAGACUUUCUAUGAUGCUAAGAGUGAAGUGAUUUCCAG